rnacentral:rRNA from 1 species
GCUGGCGGCGUGCCUAACACAUGCAAGUCGAACGAGAAAGUGGAGCAAUCCAUGAGUAAAGUGGCGACCGGGUGAGUAACACGUGACUAACCUGCCUUCGAGUGGGGGAUAACCUCGGGAAACCGGGGCUAAUACCGCAUAAUGCCGAAAGGUUGAAGGAGCAAUUCGCUUGAAGAGGGGGUCGCGGCUGAUUAGCUAGUUGGCGGGGUAACGGCCCACCAAGGCGAUGAUCGGUAGCCGGCCUGAGAGGGCGCACGGCCACACUGGAACUGAAACACGGUCCAGACUCCUACGGGAGGCAGCAGUGGGGAAUUUUGCGCAAUGGGGGAAACCCUGACGCAGCAACGCCGCGUGGAGGAUGAAGUCCUUUGGGACGUAAACUCCUUUCGACCGGGACGAUAAUGACGGUACCGGUGGAAGAAGCCCCGGCUAACUUCGUGCCAGCAGCCGCGGUAAUACGAGGGGGGCAAGCGUUGUUCGGAAUUAUUGGGCGUAAAGGGCGCGUANGCGGUGCGGUAAGUCACCUGUGAAACCUCUGGGCUUAACUCAGAGCCUGCAGGCGAAACUGCCGUGCUG